rfam:Myotis brandtii contig221632, whole genome shotgun sequence.
AGGCCAGAGAGAGAAGCAGGGUCUGAUCUGCAGCCUCCGUGGCAGCUGUUGAUCAGCCCUUGCCUCUCUGUCUCUCUGGG